CCUACGGGAGGCAGCAGUGAGGAAUAUUGGUCAAUGGGCGCGAGCCUGAACCAGCCACGUCGCGUGAAGGAUGACUGCCCUACGGGUUGUAAACUUCUUUUAUAAAGGAAUAAAGUGAGGCACGUUUGCCUUUUUGUAUGUACUUUAUGAGUAACGACAGGCUAACUCGGUGCCAGCAGCCGCGGUAAUACGGAGGAUCCGAGCGUUAUCCGGAUUUAUGGGGUUUAAAGGGAGCGUAGAUGGGUUGUUACGUCAGUUGUGAAAGUUUGCGGCUCAACCGUAAAAUUGCAAUUGAUACUGGCAGCCUUGAGUACAGUUGAGGUAGGCGGAAUUCGUGGUGUAGCGGUGAAAUGCUUAGAUAUCACGAAGAACUCCGAUGGCGAAGGCAGCCUACUAAACUGCCACUGACAUUGAUGCUCGAAAGUGUGGGUAUCAAACAGGAUUAGAUACCCGUGUAGUC
rnacentral:rRNA from 1 species